rnacentral:rRNA from 1 species
AAUGAACGCUGGCGGCAUGCCUAACACAUGCAAGUCGAACGAAACCUUCGGGCUUAGUGGCGCAUGGGGGCGUAACCGGUGGGAUAAUGCCCAUAGGUUUGGCAUAACUCCCCGAAUGGGGUGCUAAUACGGGAUCAUGUCUUCGGACCAAAGAUUUGUCGACAUUGGGUGGGCCCGCGUUGCAUUAGCUAGUUGGUAGGCUAAAAGCGUACCACGAGGAGGAUCGAUAACGGGUUAGAGAGGCAGAGCAGCCACACUGGGAGUGGGCCACGGCCCAGAAUCCUACGGGAGGGAGCAGAGGGUAAUAUUGGACAAUGGGCGAAAUGCUGAACCAGCAAUGCCGCGUGAGUGAUGAAGGCCUUAGGGUUGUAAAGCUCUUUUACCCGUGAUUAUAUUGACAGUACCGGGAGAAUAAGCUCCGGCUAACUCCGUG